CCUACGGGUGGCACCAGUGGGGAAUAUUGCACAAUGGGCGCAAGCCUGAUGCAGCCAUGCCGCGUGUAUGAAGAAGGCCUUCGGGUUGUAAAGCACUUUCAGCGGGGAGGAAGGCGGUGAGAUUAAUACUCUCACCGAUUGACGUUACCCGCAGAAGAAGCACCGGCUAACUCCGUGCCAGCAGCCGCGGUAAUACGGAGGGUGCAAGCGUUAAUCGGAAUGACUGGGCGUAAAGCGCACGCAGGCGGUUUGUUAAGUCAGAUGUGAAAUCCCCGAGCUUAACUUGGGAACUGCAUUUGAAACUGGCAAGCUAGAGUCUUGUAGAGGGGGGUAGAAUUCCAGGUGUAGCGGUGAAAUGCGUAGAGAUCUGGAGGAAUACCGGCGGCGAAGGCGGCCCCCUGGACAAAGACUGACGCUCAGGUGUGAAAGCGUGGGGAGCAAACAGGAUUAGAUACCCGGGUAGUC
rnacentral:rRNA from 1 species